UCUCUGAAUUGAGAAGGGAAAACUCUGACCUGAGAAGGGAAAACUCUGACCUGAGAAGGGAAAACUCCUCUGAGCUGAGAAGGGAAGUUGCCCACCUGAAACAGAGAUUGGAUGCAAUCUGCAGACGGAGGCAGGCAGAGGAAUACAUGAGGCAGGAUCCCACUCCAGGAGGACCGUACAGGCUGCACCCUCCCCUGAGAGCUUCAGGGCCGGGUGGCACCCCUGUUAGGAAUGGCACCGCCUUUCCGGCUCAGAAGGCAGAGG